rnacentral:tRNA from 1 species
GGGGGGUUAGCUCAACUGGUUAGAGCGCCAGUAUCACACGCUGGAGGCCGUGGGUUCGAGUCCCUCACCCCCCACCA